CAAUAGCGUAUAUUAAAGUUGUUGCAGUUAAAAAGCUCGUAAUUGGAUUUCUGGUAGGAGUGACCGUUCCGAACUUGAUUGUUCGUGUAUUGUGUUUUCUCCAGCCAUCCUUGUGGAGAACUUUUCUUGCAUUAAUUUGUAGGGAUUGGGACCCGCAUCGUUUACUGUGAAAAAAUUAGAGUGUUUAAAGCAGGCAAUCGCUUGAAUACAUUAGCAUGGAAUAAUAAGAUAGGACUUUGGUACUAUUUUGUUGGUUUGCAUACCAAAUUAAUGAUCAACAGGAACAGUUUGAGGAUAUUCGUAUGAACAUGUCAGAGGUGAAAUUCUUGGAUUUUGAUCAGACGAACUACUGCGAAAGCAUUUAUCAAGGAUGUUUUCAUUAA
rnacentral:rRNA from 1 species